CAGCAGAAAGGAAGCGUGCAAGCUACUGAGCAGGGUGCAUGCACGGUAGCCAGCAGCAACUUCGCGUAUGGACUCGGCAAGCUGACUUUCAUUCCGAUAGUUUUGCGGAAUUUUUAGCAAACAUGAGGAAUGGAAAACCAUUCACAUUAAUGACCUUCCAGUUAUUCUGACUCACCUGUCUCCCCUGCUUGGGGCCUGUGGGUGUGCUGCUGCUACUGCGAGGUGUGGGUCCCAGCAGGCCACUGCUGCUGAGCAGGCCGAGUCUUGCACCCGGUAAACUCCGAGAGGGCAUCUGGAACUGCCGAAGGCUUCUUCGUGCCAUAACACUGCUUCCAACACAGCUUGUGGUCGGGAGGGAGUUGGAUUGACCAAACCCGCGACUGCUGUGGGACAAAACAUGUCAUGUCUGAUGGAUCGGGAUCACAGCAAAACGCAACCGCAGAAUCAUAAUGUAUACAGUAACGAAUAGGCAAUAUAUACCUCCUCUGUGUUCGGUAACCUGCAACGUCAAGGAGUGUUUUUCUCGGAAUGGAUCUAAACAGCCUCUGGACCUGCUGUUUCCAUGACAACAGCCUCUUCUUCUGUGUUUCACUGAAGGACUGAUGGUCAAGGGAAGACAACAGAGUUCAAUCGUGUUCAUGACUGUGGUGUUGAAACUGAGCUUUGAUUAGCUGUGCAUCAUUCAAAACAACUGACAGACCAUUUAAAUGUUGUCACUGACUAGCAGUUCUACUGUUAAACUUUACAGGUACAUGACAUCCGUUUCCCCUGGAAGUGUAUUAAGCUAUCAUAGUUACCGAGAGAAUUAUUAGUCCUUCAAGAAUGCUGACUUCGUCACAUUAAGCCAGGGGUCGUCAACCCAAAAUGUUGAAAAUAGGACCAAAAAAAAAAAAAAAACAGAUAUGUCUGGAGCCGCAAAAAAAAUAACAGCCUUCUAUAAAACUUACAAUGAAGGAAACACGUGCUGUAUGCAUGUAGGAUACUGCACUGUCACGGAAUUGUUUGUUAUUCAUUCUUUUGUUGUGUGUUCACAAACGCCCCCAUAGAAUUUAUUUUGUAAUUUACUCACUUGAGUUUUUGUUUUGGUGCAUUAUUUUCGCUUUUCUUAGUGUCAGUGAAGUGAUCAUUAAUUUCCGUUUUUCUGAGGCUGUCUGUGACCGCCUCUCGAGUGAACGAGAAGAGAGAAGGCACAGAGUCGGAAGCAGACAUGUCUGUGUUUGUCGAGACUAUUAAAAGCAAAAAUAAAGUGUACAUUUUA